GGCAGAGUUUAGGGGCUGAACUUAAUGUUGUGCUUGAACUAAAGUACUUUCUUAACACACUUCUGCUACUCAGAGCAGUAGCCAGGGGCAGACUCUGUGCCUGGGGCUCCAACAAGAGGAUCAUCAGCCUCCAAAGGCUGGAUCUGGUUCUGCACAUGAUGGAGAAGUGAGACUCAGUACUGAUAAUGUAAGAGAGUUUGAAGGCGCCCAGGAAAAGAAACCAACUCCAAUCAAUUUCUAUUACCCAAGUCCUUUCUUUUGUGUGUAGGAAAUAGAAUGAAAGCAAAAUGUCUUUCAAUGAUUACCAGGUUUGCCUGGAAACCAGAGCUUGCUGAUUGAAGGCAGGCAGAAGACGGGCAAAGGAAACUUGAUCUUGAUGUCAUCAAACCUAUUCAUUAUCACAUCCUUCCCCAUGAGAGUAAACACAUGCUGUUUACAUGAUAUUUAAAGGACAUUUUAGAUCAUUGAGUGGAAUUGUUUCGAAUGAGAUUUGAUUUUAGAAAUUACCUUCUUCAUCUCUUCAGUUUUUGGAAUGGAAACCAAAUGUGGAGAGAAAAGUUUUAUCUAAGAACACUCGAGAGUCCGAUGGAGUCUCCUUGAGGCAGCCGGAGGAGUGACAGAUAGACAUGUUGUAUAGU
rnacentral:lncRNA from 1 species